CAAGUGCCCUGGCUGAGAUCAUAUGUCAGAUAAUACCUUGGCAUCUUCCAAGGGCAACUGGCACUGUCUGCAUAACUGGCGGACAAUAGGCAAAACUAUUCUGAAAACUGUUUCUACUGCUUUGGAAAAAUCUCCAGGAUGAUGCCUCAAGAAAGAAAGAAAAAAAUUAAAGGAAAUAUAAUCCCAGCUGACUGAAUAAUGUUCCUCCAAAUUCACAUGUUGAAGCCCUAACAUCCAUUUGAAGAUAGCGUCUUGAAGAGGCACUCAAGGGGGAUGGAACUCUAAUCCCAAAUGGCUGGUGUCCUUAUAAAAAAGCAGAAGGGACACCAGCCAGGCUGAUGAACAGAGAAAAGACUACAUGAAGAUACAGUAAGAAGAUUGCCCUCUGUCAGCCAAGGAGAGAUACCUCAGGAAAAAAUAAACCUGCCUACACCUUGAUUCUGGACUUCAGUCCUCCUAAACUGUUUGAAUCCACGUCUCUGACUCUGAUUACCAAGAAACUCUUUCACCUUAGCUCACUGGGUAAAAGCCGGAUUCACCAAGAGCAGUGGAUAUAAAUUGGCUCAUUACUGGGUGAGUUCAGAAAUGAAUUCUGUCUCUCAGAACCUCAUUUUACUUAUACAUGGAUAAAGGAUAUGCAUCUUUUGCAGGAAUCUUGUAGCAGAAUGAAGGAAUGAAAGAGCUGGAUCCACUGAUUUCAUCCUAUAUACAUCCUCUGUUCAUUGUGAUUUCUCCCAUGUUAGGCAGGAAACAAAACAUGGUUUCCCAGCUUUAUCGGGGUAUGAUUGUGAUACAGUCAACCACCUGUAAUUAAACAUUGCAAUCUCUUUUGACACACAUGAAAUCAUCACAGCAGACAAGAUAGUGAAUAUAGCCCUCACUUCAUAAUUCUUUCCUACCUCCUUAUAUUUCCUAGCUCCCAACACUCCCACAAACUCCAACAUCCCAUGUUUUUUGUCCAGAAGUGUUGUAGUUAUAGGUUUCACACUUAGAUCUUUGUUCCAUAAUGAGUUUAUUUUGCAUGUGCUAAAAGGAAUAAGUUACUAUGUUUUGCAUAUGGAUAUUCAGUUCUACAAGAAACAGUUGUUGAAAGGUUAUGUUUUAUCCACAGAAUUAUCUUUGUAUCUUUGUAAAAAUUGAUUUUCCCUGUUUAUAUGUGGUCUGCUUCUGAAUUCUAUUCUGUUCCGGUUUUAGUCAACUUUUCAUCGCUGUGACUGAGAGAACUGACAAAAACAAUGAAAGAGGAGGAAAAGUUUAUUUGGUUUACAGUUUCAGAGGUCUCAGGCCAUAGAUGACUGACUCCAUUGCUCUAGGACCAUUAUGAGGCAGAACGGUAGUGGAGUAAUGGAGUGGCGGAGGAAAGCAGCUUAGGACAUGGUAACCAGAAACCAGAGAGAGAGUUCUCCUCACCAGAGAUAAAAUACAAACUCCAGGGGCAUUUUCCCAGAGACCCACCUCUUCAAAUCACUCCCUACCUGCCUAGUUAUCACUCAGUUAAUUCACACCAGUGGAUUAAUCUACUGAUUCAGUUCCAACUCUAAUAAUCUAAAUGCUUCACUGCUGAAUUUUCUUGCAUUGUCUCACACAUGAGUUUUUAAGGGACACCACAUAUCAAAACCAUAAGAGCGCACUAGGUAUAAUUGUUUAACUUCACCAAUAUGGUCUUUAUUUCUGCUGCACUUACAGUGAGUCUUAAAAACGGGUAGUGUUAACUCUCCAACUUUGUUCUCUAUUUCAAAGUUAUUUUGUUUGUUCUAGACCUUUUAUGUUUUCACAUAAAGUUUUGAAUCAGUUUGACAAUUUCUCCAGAAAAAUCCUGCAGGAAUGUUGACUGGGAUUGUGUUGAAUUUAAAUAUUGAUUUGAGGAGAACUGACAUCUUAUAAAUAGUAGACAUUUAGAUCCAAGAACAAGGGUUUUAUAUCCCUAUUUAUUCUUUCAUUUUGGUGUACAAAAUUUUGUAAUUUUUGAUAUGGAAAACUUACACAUCUUUUGUCACAUUUUAUUCCUUAUAACCAGUGCCACUUAAAAUUUCAAUUUUGAAUAUUUAUUGCUAGAAUAUAUGUAAAUUGAUUUUUAUGUAUCAAACUUGUGUCUUAUAACUUUGAUAAAAUUGCAAA